rnacentral:tRNA from 1 species
UGGGGGGUAGCUCAGUGGUAGAGCAUUUGCCGAGCAAGUGCAAGUCUCUGAGUUCAAUCCCCAGCACUGCAA